rnacentral:lncRNA from 1 species
GUGAAUUAAGGUAUUGGAAAAGAAAUAGAGCAAUUUGGAGCUAAAUUGGACGCGUUGGCCAAUUAAUCGGGUGAUAAGACGAAUUAGGCCAAUACCGAGUUUAGAUGGUUACCCGUGCAUUUUGCAUUCCAUAUUAUGCAUUAGUAGUCUAAAUUAGUUUAAUUUCGAUUUAGUACCAAUGUAGUAUGUUUCUCGAUUUUGUACUAUGUCAAGGUGGUGAGUCCUCCGAUAAAGGCAAGGAAAUUGCAUCCGAGGAUCAGCAGUCAAAGUACUUCAAAAAUCCGCACUCUAGACAUUGUGAGUAAACUUACUGUCAUUUUAAUUAUCUAGGGUGGCUUUUAGAUGAUUUCAUGAAUUCUAUGGAAAAAUGGAUUUAAAAAGGUAAAUUUUCAUGUUUGAUGAAUAAAUGUGUUUCAAUGAAAUUAAUUUAUAAAUUAUUUUGAAAUUAAUAAUGAUUUUGAAAAAUAGAGUACAUGGAGACUGUUAUUUGUUGCAAUUUGAUUGUUUAAAUUGAUUGGCUUAUGAUAAAUCGGGCAUGAAUGGCUAGUUGACAAUUGUAUUGAAAUAUGGAUUGUUUGUUUGCCUUGAAAGGCUGUGAAUUACAAUAAUUGCCAUAUCAUGUUAUUGAAUUUUAUUGAUUGGUGGGAUAAUUAUUAACUUACUGUAGUAGGCGGGUUUCGUGGACCAGCCUAUGAGAGGGGCAUAGUAACCCCGUUUAUAUGUGCUCACCUCGAUUGUAGAGGUGUGUAGGGUAGCUCCUAAGGUGAUAUUUGGGUUCACUUCACGCCGAACACCACGUGAUGGUCAACUCAACCAACGCCAAGGAACGGUUGUGAUGUCUAAUGAAAAAUGUGUUUUAUGCGAAAUGUGAGUUUUUAAUAGCCUUGGCUGUCUCGGUAUGAUGCUUCGGCCAAGGUGUCACCGAGGAUGGAUUUAUGGCACAAGCUUAGUUUUUAUGAGAUUCAUAAGCCUCGUUACGUAUUUUGAAUGAAAUGUGUUCUAAUGCUGUGACCCAGUGUAUGAUGAUUUGUUUUAUCGUCUCCAUGUACUCAACUCUAGAUGUUUAUGAUGAUGUCUGUUUACUCACUGGGAUUUUAUAAUCUCACCACCCUCAUUUCCACCCAUUUCAGUCUUAGUAUAGACUGUAGAUAGCUAAUAUCAUCGAAGGCUACAAUUGGCUUUACUUCCUAAAAAAUUGUAGGUUUGCAGCCUUCGUUCAUUUUUAUCAUUUAGGGGUCCACAUGUCACUGUAAAUUAAAUUUCAUACUCUAGUUAUCUGUACUACUGUAUGUAAGAAUUUAUUUUGCUUUUACGCUGUAAAAAAAUUAUUUACGCAAUGUUCUAAAAAAUAUUGUUUUAUAAGAAAAUAGAAUAUUUUGUUUAAUA